UAAAAAAUAAGCUAAAAUUAAGCUAAUGAGUUCAUACCUCAUUUAUAAAGAAUAAAAUCUUUUUUUUUAA
rnacentral:tRNA from 1 species